rnacentral:rRNA from 1 species
UACGUAGGGUGCGAGCGUUGCCCGGAUUUAUUGGGCGUAAAGGGCGCGUAGGCGGCUCGGCACGUCCGUCGUGAAAUCGCCCGGCUCAACUGGGCGGGGUCGGCGGAUACGGCCGAGCUGGAGCAAGCUAGGGGGUAAUGGAAUUCCCGGUGUAGUGGUGGAAUGCGUAGAUAUCGGGAGGAACACCAGUGGCGAAGGCGGUUACCUGGAGCUUUGCUGACGCUGAUGCGCGAAAGCGUGGGGAGCGAACAGG